CCCAUCAAAAAGAAAAAAAAAAGAAAAAAUGAGAAAAGAGGAAAAAAUUUGAGAAAGGCCAAAAAGAAAAAAAAAGAGGCUAAAGAAAAAAAAGAAAAAGAAAAAAAGGAAAAAAAAUGAGAGAAAAAGAGAGAAGGGACAAUGCUACUAUCUCUUUUUCCACACUUGUGCUUCAAAAUAGCACCAUGAUCUUCAUGAUAGAGAGUCUUAUAUGGUAUCACUUUCAUAUACUAGUGGGAAUUUUUCAUUAUAGAACUUGACUUGUAUAUUUCAAUGAUGGGCUUCCUCAAAGUGCCCUAGAUCUUUGUGAGCAAGCAAGUUGGAUGCACACCCACUUAGUUUCUUUUGUUGAGCUUUCAUAUAUUUUAUAGCUAUAGUGCAUCCGUUGCAUGUCAAUCCCUACUCACUCACAUUGAUAUUUAUUAAUGGACAUCUCCAUACAGCCCGUUAAUAUGCCUAGUUGAUAUGAGAUUAUCUUCUCCCUUUUUGUCCUCACAACCACCAUAAACCAUCAUAGUGUUAUGUCCAUGGCUUGCGCUCAUAUAUUGCGUAAGAGUUGAAAAAGCUGAAGCGCGUUAAAAAGUAUGAACCAAUUGCUCGGCUCGUCAUCGAGGUUGUACAUGAUGGGAGUAUUUUGUGUAAUGAAAAUGAAGCAUGGCCUAACUAUAUGAUUUUAUAGGGAUAAGCUUUCUUUGGCUAUGCUAUUUUGAUAUUACAUGAUUAUUUGUUAGUAUGCUUUGAAGCAUUAUUAUUUUUAUGUUUUAUAAGCUUUUAUUCUAAAUCUAAUGGAUAUAUUUUAGCCGGAAAAAUACUUAAUCCCGUAAAAUGGCAGAGUUUUACGAGCCGUCGAGCUUUUGUACAAUCUGCUAGGGAUGCUCUGAUCCAUCCUUUUUGGUAAAAUUGUAGCUAGCAGAAGAUCACCUAUAUACAUAUGUUUCUUGGUCCACAGUGAGUAGCCAAUAAAUAGAGUGCUGAAAUAAUAAUAUAUGAAAGUGCUGAAAUAAUAAUAUAUGAAAAAGAUUAUCCUAUAUAUGUAUGUUUCUUGGUACAAAUACGCAGCCAAACUCACAAGAGAACGUGCGCGUGUAUCUGAAUACCACAUGUCCACAUGACAAAAGCAAAACCAUAGCUAGAUGACGACAACAUUCAGAUGCAUUAUUUACAAUGUAAAAGAAAAU
rnacentral:rRNA from 1 species